GCUUGAAACAAUUUAGACCAACCAGAACUGGAGUACUGCAAACAAGGAAGCUUAAAACAGCGUAUUUAACGCUAAUAUUAUUUGCUGGUGCGACGGCGUUCUGCAUACAAGAUGAAAGCCAACUUCAUUUUACUUAUUUGCUGUAUUGUUGCUCUGGCAGCAUUCGUGGUGGCGAAUGCUGAGUUUCGCGAAAGAAGAAGUCCCAAUAUUAUUACUUCAAUGGCUGGUAAAGCAUUAAAUGCAACGAAAGUUGUAUUUUCUAUGUUUGGCAAAUAAAUAUUUGGUAUUCGAAAACACGGAGGGAAUAAAACUUCCGAAAAAAGUAUUUUAUUGAUAUUUAUUUUUCCUACCACAUUUUCGGGAUGAAUGCAAUCACUUUGUGUAACUGCAUGUAAAAGUAAUAAAUUGUAUUAAUAUUUGGUUUUGACAAACUCAUAGGAAGAAAAUAAAUAACAUAAUUAUAGACAUUACAAAGCUGACUCUAGGGGUAAAAGAGUUGUUUUCUCAACUCUCUUAAAUUUUUUAAUGUAUUUAGAAAUGUAGAAAUAUCGUAUCCAAUAUUUUUAAUAAUAACAAAUUAAAUUAAUAUGCUACACAUAAUUGAAGUCUGAUUAUAAUUUUUAUAGUACCAUUCAUACAUUGAAAACGUGUUAAAUUUUCCAACUGAUUGAAUACGUCAAAUCAGUUACAUUCAAAAUUAGAUCCCACUAUUUAUAAAAGUUGAGUAUCAAAAAUGUUUCGUUAAACAUGAUCAAACUCAUGGAAUUAGGGUUUUAAGUUGUAUGACAAUUCCAAUGAAUGUUACAAGUUUUACGUUUCACAAUAUGGUAUCAAAAUAACACAUGUAAUAAAUAUGUUUAACACUAUAAAUGGUAAAGCUCAUCAGUUUGUUAAAAAAGGGGUUUAGGAAUUUGAGUUGUGGUAAAGAAAUGCAUUGCAAUUUUAGCGGAUGUUAAAUCUUGAGUUUGUAUAUUAAAAUAACAUAUGUUUCAAUAUUUACACAAGCUAAUAAACUGUAUUCAAGCAAUGGAGUUUGGUUGUGAACAACAGUCAGAAAUAUAUUUCAUUAAAAGUAA